rnacentral:lncRNA from 1 species
GGAUGCUUGUCGUAAACUUGUGUUUCCUGUUUAUUUAUGUGUAUUUGGUUUUGCUCGCUAAACAAACUUUUCUUCAGACUUUAUAAUUUCAAUUCUAAUGUAUUUAUUGGUUUUGCUUAUUCAGUUCUUGAUACUUUGAAGUCAUUCGCCGAAAUAUUAUCCGUCGUAAACAAGUGACCUUAACGUGACCCUGCUCGUAAAAAUCCGAUUAUUGCAAUACGCAUGGAUCUGUCAUUAACAUACACUUUUAUUAGAUUGUAA